rnacentral:rRNA from 1 species
CUUUGGUGGCGACCGGCGCACGGGUGCGUAACGCGUAUGUAACCUACCUAUAACAGGGGCAUAACACUGAGAAAUUGGUACUAAUUCCCCAUAAUAUUCGGAGAGGCAUCUCUCCGGGUUGAAAACUCCGGUGGUUAUAGAUGGACAUGCGUUGUAUUAGCUAGUUGGUGAGGUAACGGCUCACCAAGGCAACGAUACAUAGGGGGACUGAGAGGUUAACCCCCCACACUGGUACUGAGACACGGACCAGACUCCUACGGGAGGCAGCAUG